GUGUCAGCAGCCGCGGUAAGACAGAGGGUGCAAACGUUGUUCGGAAUUACUGGGCGUAAAGCGCGUGUAGGCGGCUAUGCAAGUCGGGUGUGAAAUCCCACGGCUCAACCGUGGAAGUGCACUCGAAACUACGUAGCUGGAGUUCUGGAGAGGAAGGUGGAAUGCUCGGUGUAGAGGUGAAAUUCGUAGAUAUCGAGUGGAACACCGGUGGCGAAGGCGGCCUUCUGGACAGAAACUGACGCUGAGACGCGAAAGCGUGGGGAGCAAACAGGAUUAGAUACCCGCGUAGUCC
rnacentral:rRNA from 1 species